UGGGGGAUAGCUCAGCUGGCAGAGCACCGGCCCGAUAAGCCGGCGGUCGAUGGUUCGAUCCCAUCUCCCCCAA
rnacentral:tRNA from 1 species